rnacentral:tRNA from 1 species
CGCGGGGUAGAGCAGUUGGCAGCUCGUCAGGCUCAUAACCUGAAGGCCGUAGGUUCGAGUCCUACCCCCGCUA